AACAUCCAGCCUUGACCAUAUGCCCUAAGGCAGAGUUAUUGGAGGACUCCCUUUCUGAUCAUGACUAUCCAGACUCAGAUAGUCCAUUUCUCACAAUUCCACGAAACAAGAAAUAAGAAUGGCCUAAUACAAUACAAUAUACAAUACAAUAUGUUAAUACUUUAGUGAAUAAUACAUAAUUCCGGUGAGCAGACGACGUCAGACUCUGUUGAAAUUGAAUCAAACAGUUUUCAGACUUUCAGUCUUUCCAAAUUCUAAAUUUAUCUAACUGAAAAAAAACAGACAUCAAAAACAUUGAAAUGUUCAAGUAUAGUUAUCUGUGUGACUUGUUUGGUGAAAAACAUCCAGCCUUGACCAUAUGCCCUAAGGCAGAGUUAUUGGAGGACUCCCUUUCUGAUCAUGACUAUCCAGACUCAGAUAGUCCAUUUCUCACAAUUCCA